rnacentral:tRNA from 1 species
GGGCCGGUAGAUCAGCCUGGUACACAGCAAGCGGUUUGUUUGCUGGCUGAAGAUCGCCCGCUUGGCAGGUCUAUGGUCGAACCCGAAAUGCGGGAAAGCACUAACACUGCUCCGUAGGGCCGCGGGUUCAAAUCCCGCCCGGUCCA